GUGCUUAACACAUGCAAGUCGAGCGGUAACAGGUGUAGCAAUACAUGCUGACGAGAGGCGGACGGGUGAGGAACGCUUGGGAAUCUGCCCUUCAGCGGGGGACAACCCGGGGAAACUCGGGCUAAUACCGCAUACGCUCCACGGAGGAAAGCCGGGGACCGCAAGGCCUGGCACUGAAGGAUGAGCCCAAGUCGGAUUAGCUAGUUGGCGGGGUAACGGCCCACCAAGGCGACGAUCCGUAGCUGGUCUGAGAGGACGAUCAGCCACACCGGAACUGAGACACGGUCCGGACUCCUACGGGAGGCAGCAGUGGGGAAUAUUGGACAAUGGGCGCAAGCCUGAUCCAGCCAUGCCGCGUGUGUGAAGAAGGCCCUCGGGUUGUAAAGCACUUUAAGCGAGGAGGAAGGUCAUCAUACUAAUAUUAUGAUGAAUUGACGUUACUCGCAGAAUAAGCACCGGCUAACUCUGUGCCAGCAGCCGCGGUAAUACAGAGGGUGCGAGCGUUAAUCGGAAUUACUGGGCGUAAAGCGUGCGUAGGCGGCUGAUUAAGUCGGAUGUGAAAUCCCUGAGCUUAACUUAGGAAUUGCAUUCGAUACUGGUCAGCUAGAGUAUGGGAGAGGAUGGUAGAAUUCCAGGUGUAGCGGUGAAAUGCGUAGAGAUCUGGAGGAAUACCGAUGGCGAAGGCAGCCUUCUGGCCUAACACUGACGCUGAGGUGCGAAAGCAUGGGGAGCAAACAGGAUUAGAUACCCUGGUAGUCCAUGCUGUAAACGAUGUCAACUAGCCGUUGGGGUCUUUAAGACUUUAGUGGCGUAGCUAACGCGAUAAGUUGACCGCCUGGGGAGUACGGUCGCAAGACUAAAACUCAAAUGAAUUGACGGGGGCCCGCACAAGCGGUGGAGCAUGUGGUUUAAUUCGAUGCAACGCGAAGAACCUUACCUGGCCUUGACAUGUCUGGAAUCUUGUAGAGAUACGAGAGUGCCUUCGGGAAUCAGAACACAGGUGCUGCAUGGCUGUCGUCAGCUCGUGUCGUGAGAUGUUGGGUUAAGUCCCGCAACGAGCGCAACCCUU
rnacentral:rRNA from 1 species